CGCUGGCGGCGUGCCUAAUACAUGCAAGUCGAACGGUCUUUCUAUGGAAGCUUGCUUCCACUGAGAAGAUAGUGGCGAACGGGUGAGUAACACGUGGGUAACCUGCCCAUAAGAGGGGGAUAACAUCCGGAAACGGGUGCUAAUACCGCAUAGUUUUCUUGAUCGCAUGAUUGAGAAAGGAAAGACGGCCUUUGUGCUGUCGCUUAUGGAUGGACCCGCGGCGUAUUAGUUAGUUGGUGAGGUAGCGGCUCACCAAGACGAUGAUACGUAGCCGACCUGAGAGGGUGAUCGGCCACAUUGGGACUGAGACACGGCCCAAACUCCUACGGGAGGCAGCAGUAGGGAAUCUUCCGCAAUGGACGAAAGUCUGACGGAGCAACGCCGCGUGAGUGAAGAAAGGUUUUCGGAUCGUAAAACUCUGUUGUCAGAGAAGAACAAGUUGGAGAGUAACUGCUCCAGCCUUGACGGUAUCUGACCAGAAAGCCACGGCUAACUACGUGCCAGCCGCUGC
rnacentral:rRNA from 1 species